GGGGGGGUAGCUCAGCUUGGUUGAGAGCGUUAGCUUGUCAUGUUAAAGGUCGCGGGUUCGAGCCCCGUUCUUCCCG
rnacentral:tRNA from 1 species